rnacentral:ncRNA from 1 species
UAAGGGGUGGCUUCGCGCCUGAGACGUCUGAUAUGACGGACCCUUUGAACCUGAUCCGGGUAACACCGGCGUAGGAAUAGGAUU